UGGGGAAUAUUGCACAAUGGGCGAAAGCCUGAUGCGGCCAUGCCGCGUGUGUGAAGAAGGCCUUAGGGUUGUAAAGCACUUUCAGCGAGGAGGAAAGGGGGUAAGUUAAUACCUUAUCUCUGUGACGUUACUCGUAGAAGAAGCACCGGCUAACUCCGUGCCAGCAGCCGCGGUAAUACGGAGGGUGCGAGCGUUAAUCGGAAUUACUGGGCGUAAAGCGUGCGUAGGCGGCUACUUAAGUUGGAUGUGAAAGCCCUGGGCUCAACCUGGGGACUGCAUCCAAAACUGGGUGGCUAGAGUGCGAGAGAGGAGUGUGGAAUUUCCUGUGUAGCGGUGAAAUGCGUAGAUAUAGGAAGGAACACCAGUGGCGAAGGCGACACUCUGGCUUGACACUGACGCUGAGGUACGAAAGCGUGGGGAGCAAACAGGAUUAGAUACCCUGGUAGUCCACGCCGUAAACGAUGUCUACUAGUUGUCGGUUGUCUUGUACGACUGGUAACGCAGCUAACGCGAUAAGUAGACCGCCUGGGGAGUACGGCCGCAAGGUUA
rnacentral:rRNA from 1 species